GCGUAAAGAGCUCGUAGGUGGUUUGUCGCGUUGUUCGUGAAAACUCACAGCUUAACUGUGGGCGUGCGGGCGAUACGGGCAGACUAGAGUACUGCAGGGGAGACUGGAAUUCCUGGUGUAGCGGUGGAAUGCGCAGAUAUCAGGAGGAACACCGGUGGCGAAGGCGGGUCUCUGGGCAGUAACUGACGCUGAGGAGCGAAAGCGUGGGGAGCGAACAGGAUUAGAUACCCUGGUAGUCCACGCCGUAAACGGUGGGUACUAGGUGUGGGUUCCUUCCUUGGGAUCCGUGCCGUAGCUAACGCAUUAAGUACCCCGCCUGGGGAGUACGGCCGCAAGGCUAAAACUCAAAGGAAUUGACGGGGGCCCGCACAAGCGGCGGAGCAUGUGGAUUAAUUCGAUGCAACGCGAAGAACCUUACCUGGGUUUGACAUGCACAGGACGCCGGCAGAGAUGUCGGUUCCCUUGUGGCCUGUGUGCAGGUGGUGCACGGCUGUCGUCAGCUCGUGUCGUGAGAUGUUGGGUUAAGUCCCGCAACGAGCGCAACCCUUGUCCUAUGUUGCCAGCGGGUUAUGCCGGGGACUCGUAGGAGACUGCCGGGGUCAACUCGGAGGAAGGUGGGGAUGACGUCAAGUCAUCAUGCCCCUUAUGUCCAGGGCUUCACACAUGCUACAAUGGCCGGUACAAAGGGCUGCGAUGCCGUGAGGUGGAGCGAAUCCUUUCAAAGCCGGUCUCAGUUCGGAUCGGGGUCUGCAACUCGACCCCGUGAAGUCGGAGUCGCUAGUA
rnacentral:rRNA from 1 species